rnacentral:rRNA from 1 species
GACGAACGCUGGCGGCGUGCUUAACACAUGCAAGUCGAACGAAGUGGCGAACGGGUGAGUAACGUGUUUUCAACCUGCCCUUCAGAGGGGGUCAACAGUUGGAAACGACUCCUAAUACCGCAUCCUGAAGCAGGGGAUUGCGUCUGAUGAGUUAGUUGGAGGGUUAACGGCCCACCAAGGCGAUGAUCAGUAGCCGGUCUGGGAGGAUGAACGGCCACAUUGGGACUGAGACACGGCCCAGACUCCUACGGGAGGCAGCAGUGGGGAAUCUUCCGCAAUGGACGAAAGUCUGACGGAGCAACGCCGCGUGAGUGAUGACGGCCUUCGGGUUGUAAAGCUCUGUUAAUCGGGACGCGGUACCGGAAUAGAAAGCCACGGCUAACUACGUGCCAGCCGCCGCGGUAAUUC